AGCGAACGCUGGCGGCAGGCUUAACACAUGCAAGUCGAACGGGCAUAGCAAUAUGUCAGUGGCAGACGGGUGAGUAACGCGUGGGAACAUACCUCUUGGUUCGGAACAACACAGGGAAACUUGUGCUAAUACCGGAUAAGCCCUUACGGGGAAAGAUUUAUCGCCGAGAGAUUGGCCCGCGUCUGAUUAGCUAGUUGGUGUGGUAAAGGCGCACCAAGGCGACGAUCAGUAGCUGGUCUGAGAGGAUGAUCAGCCACAUUGGGACUGAGACACGGCCCAAACUCCUACGGGAGGCAGCAGUGGGGAAUAUUGGACAAUGGGCGCAAGCCUGAUCCAGCCAUGCCGCGUGAGUGAUGAAGGCCUUAGGGUUGUAAAGCUCUUUGUACGGGAAGA
rnacentral:rRNA from 1 species